UUAAUGUUAAAUUCCGUUUGAUCUUAAUUGAAAGGAGGCACAGAGUUACAGGAAACAGACCCUUGCAUUGAAAAGGCCAUGGUAAUAUGUUUAGAGUUUCCCAAGAAACAGAAGGAGAUCUUGAGAGCACAGCCAUUUGAAAGCGAAGUUAAGCCCUUAACACCUCACAGCGGCAAAACCCUUCUGUGGUGCUUCAGAAGCCUUGGCUCUGGGAGUCAGUUUCUUCUCAUUCAAGAUAGGACCAGAAAUUUCAUUUUGCUUUUGAAGCAGGUUCUUGACUUCUUGAGGUCCAAGACUUUUAGAACUCCGAAGAACGAAUAACACAGAGAGAAAGGAAUGUGUCUGGAGUAACUUUGUGGCCACUCUAGGAAGAUUUAUUUUGUUUAUUUGAAAGGUGGAGUUACAGAGAGAGACAGAGAAGACAGAGAGAAAUCCUCUAUCCACUGGUUCACUCCCCAGAUGUCUGCAACAACCAGGGCUGGGCCACACCGAAGCAAAGAUCCAAGAGCAGGAAAAGUCUAGAGGAAGACUACUGAGAGAAAUGAGUUGAAAUCUUGUUCAGAUCACUUGUUGGAUAAGGUGUUUUGCCUUUUCAAGUAUUAGCUGUCUUGUCUGUAAUAUAUGUAGUUUUCCUUUGAUUCAAAGGAACAGGUCUGUUUAGUAUGUGAUACUUGCUAAGUGGUCAAUAAAAUAUUUAUUCAGAGUCAACAUUUUUUUAAGAAACUGGUGUUUAUUUUCCAUCAACUUUAUUUCA